UAGUUACUAAAUAUAAGGGAUCAUUUUUGUCAUUUUGUCGUACAACUUUUGCAAAUACUGAGUAAAUAUAAGGACACAAACGUAAAACGAGGACACUAUAGGGUACUAUAAAUUAACCUAAUUGUGCUGAAAAGAAUUUCUCAUGAACUCUGGACGGAAAGAACGAGGCAAAGAGAGAGGCAGCCAGUGGACUAAAAUGGUGAAGCAAUAGAACUCAUUUUCACAUUGAGAUUUGAGUGUGUGAUGGUUUGAAGGCAGUGACCAAGGUUUCCAAUAAGGGUUAUGUUUGUGGACAUUCUUGAUCAAAGCAAGUAUAUGCUGUCUGAAGAAAAGUGGCCAAGCUGAAAAAGGAUUCUUACAAUGUGAAGCACAAUUUGCAAGGAAUGUAAAAAACAACUGGAGUGAUGAAAAGCUUUUUGGAAUGGAAUGUUGAAUCAAGCACUUUGCUGCAGAUUGUAGAAAGUAUUGCUCUAUGACUUAUGUUUUCUAGUGAUGUUCAUGAGCAGAAAACCUUUUCCUUUUCUUGUUGUAUUAUGGCAAAUAGCUAAGUUUUUAUGCUAGUCAGCAGGGGAAAUAUUUGUUAUUUGGAAGUCGGCAUCCUUGAUAUGACUUUUUUUUUUUUAAAAUAAAUUUCUAGAAAAGUUGUUUUA